rnacentral:rRNA from 1 species
AGUGAACGCUGGCGGUAGGCCUAACACAUGCAAGUCGAACGGCAGCACAGUAAGAGCUUGCUCUUACGGGUGGCGAGUGGCGGACGGGUGAGGAAUACAUCGGAAUCUACUUUUUCGUGGGGGAUAACGUAGGGAAACUUACGCUAAUACCGCAUACGACCUACGGGUGAAAGCAGGGGAUCUUCGGACCUUGCGCGAUUGAAUUAGCCGAUGUCGGAUUAGCUAGUUGGCGGGGUAAAGGCCCACCAAGGCGACGAUCCGUAGCUGGUCUGAGAGGAUGAUCAGCCACACUGGAACUGAGACACGGUCCAGACUCCUAUGGGAGGCAGCAGUGGGGAAUAUUGGACAAUGGGCGCAAGCCUGAUCCAGCCAUACCGCGUGGGUGAAGAAGGCCUUCGGGUUGUAAAGCCCUUUUGUUGGGAAAGAAAAGCAGCAGGUUAAUACCCCGCUGUUCUGACGGUACCCAAAGAAUAAGCACCGGCUAACUUCGUG